rnacentral:lncRNA from 1 species
CAUUAUUAAACCCUACAUAAAUUCACUUUUAUUUAUUUUUCCUCAAAUCUACAUCUUCUGAUCUCUUCCCAUUUUUUUCCUUCCGUUCCAUAAUAAUUUUCUCUAGAAAACUGUGUUUAGAAAAGUCUCAGAUUUGUUCACAGAACCCUUAUCCUGCGAGUCAAUUUGGGUAAUUUUUGUUCUCCAAAUACCUAAUUAUACUUAUCUUAUUUUUUUAAAUUCGAUAUUAUUUUCAAUUUGAGAUCGAUUUAUAAUAUGUUUGGCUUUUUGAGAAAUUAUAGAUCUGGAAAAUGUUAUGACAUGGAAAUAAUUGUCGCAGAAAUAAUAGAGAUCGAAUUGGACAUGGGGUUUCUGGUGACAACCCUUAUUUUCCUUGUGGUUGGGAUCAUCGCGUCUCUAUGCACUAGAAUCUGCUGCAACAGAGGACCCUCUGCAAAUCUGUGCGUUUAUUUUUUUUCUCAACAUCAUUUUUUUUCUUUUUUGUUUUGAGUUUGAGUUUGAUUAGAUGAUUUUUACCCAGUUCUUCAUCGCAUUCCUUGAAUCGCAAAUUGUUUCUUGACUUCAGUAUUUGAAUGUAUUAUCAAGCUAACGCUAAUGUUUGUCUGCCCUGGCUGUGUAUCAUCAAACAAUCCGAUUCUUACUAUUGUAGUACUUACGAUAUCAAGGAGAGAUGGUUUUUGUUAUUAUAUGGGUUUUUGGAUGAAGGAGCCGCACCUUGAGCUGAUUUAUUAUCGUAGAUAAAGUUUUCCAUCUUAAUCAUGUCUGAUAGCUGGAAUUUUAUUUAUGAAACAAAUGUUAUUUUGCUUGUUAGAUACUUCUUAGAACUAAUCAGCAAUAGUUUGAGGGUGAAUACUUUGUUGGACUUGCAACUUGCGAGAUGCUAGUGUUUUGAUGAAUGAAAUAUGAAUCUUUUCCUGGCUACAGUUGGAUUGAUGCCUCCAAUUAGACUGUAGUGUGUUAAGGAUCUAUGUUUUAAAAAUUAUAAAUGAUAACUGUGUGUCAAGGUAUUUACAUCCAUUAUGGGAUUUCAAGCCUAGAGAUGCUUCCAAGUAUAAAUCAAAACAUUUUGAAGCAUAAACUUCAACAUAAGCUAAUAAAUAAAUCAAGAAAAUGAUAAAGCUAUGAAAGUAACGAAAAAGAAAAAAAUAAUGUUAACAAGUUUAACAUUUAGCUUAUUAAUCCAAAUUCUACUAUUCAAGAAUAUAAAUCUAACACAUAAUUUCAGUCUUCGAGUGAAUGAUAAUUAACCAAGCAAAGAGCAAGUAAAAGGAGAAAAAGUUAUUCGAGAGGAAACACUCAAACUAGUGCAAGCAAUACCUAGAAUAGAAGAAUAAAAAUAUAACCCAACUGACAAUUAACAAAAAGUAGGAUUGCUCAGCAACUAAGUCUUUUAACAAAUGAAACAGCUAAUCAGUUGUUCUAAAGAAUUUUGUGCUUACUCAUUUUUAAAGAUAAAUGAGAGGAAAGAAAACCAAAAGACAGGAGGUAGCAAAAGAAUUAUAAAAGAAAACAGAAUAGGGAGAACUUAUCAGGCACACCUCAUUCUGUCACCAAAAAGCUGCAACAUAACCGAUGGGAUGAUGUAUGGCAGUUUUAAGAGCGGAGGACUUAGCAUGCAUGGACUUUUCACUUCCCUUUUCUACUCAAAUUCUUCCUAUCAUUUAGUUUUUGUGUUGAGGUAUGUUUAAAACAUUCCAAAAGUCCCUUAAAAUGCUCGAGGUAUGAAAUAAAACAGACUAAAAGACUGAAGUUGGUAAAACUAUAAAUCAGUGAAGAAAGGGAGAGUUUGAGAAGUGCACACCUAAUUGACCUGAGGCUUGUGCCUGAAAGCAUGCCCCUCAGUCAAACAUGCUCUUAAAGUAUCUUCUUUCUUCACUUGUGAGCACUUUCCUUAAAAAAAUUACCAAACACAUUAAAAGUCAUGCAGAUAGGCUCUUAAUAUAGUUUUAUAAUUUAAUGUCAUGUCUUGAAUAUUUGAAUCCAAUUAAUAAUGCCAAUCACAGUGUUGUAAUCAUACCUGUUAAGAGUUUGGUGCCAUUAACUUUAUUGGUGGGACUCAUUCAACGUGUUAUGCUAGGUAAAAUAUUGAAUAGAUGUUUGCUAUACUCUUGAUCAUUCACAUAGCUUUGGCAACGGUGGUGACUCCUGCCUUGCAUAUUGCUAACUGUAUUUCAUGUUGCAGGUUACACCUGACAUUGAUUAUUACCGCAACAGUAUGCUGCUGGAUGAUGUAAGUUGUUGUCCCUUGUUUAAGUAAAAACUAGAUUUGUAUUGCGCACAUGCCAUCAUCAAUCUUCCUACUUCUUUAGGAGUAAUAUGAUUUCAACCCUACACAAUCACAAUUAUUGCUGUGCCCAACUAGGUUUUCUUUGGAUUCUUAUUUUUAUUUUUUAGGUGGGAGUCAGAAGCGGAAUAUGUUCACAUUACUGCAUAUGCGUAUCACUUGUUAAAAGCAGUGUUCUAAAAGGCGUAAGAUAUGACAAGCUUCAAGCUUUACGAGCUUAGGCGAG